GGAACAGCUUACAAUUAUUUGUAACUGAUUUUUUGCUAAAAUCAAAACCACCAUACUGAACAAAACACACAUCCAGAAAGAACAUGUACUCAGUGACAAAAUUCACUUCUAACUCAGCAGGCCCUUCAAGUAUUUUGCUGAUCCCCUAUUUAUCAGAUAACCUAGUAGCUAACUGUCACUUAGGCAAAUGUUAUAGCAAUCCACCAAACACUAGUUAGGCAUGAAAAAGAUACGACAUGAUCCUUAGCUCCAAGGGGCUAAGAUCUAGUUGUAAAAAAUAAACGCACCAGCCACUGAAUAAAAGCUAAAGUACCCAAAAGAAAAUGACACAAGUAAUAAGUGCUACUUAUAAAGGCAGAUGCAAUGCGCAAGUACUAAAUAGAAGACUUGGAUUGAACUGUGCAGAAGAAGGCUUCAUAU
rnacentral:lncRNA from 1 species